AACGAAACAAACCAAACAAACAAAAAAUCCAGGCAGCUGAUGACUCCCCAGUAUGGGUGUCCGACUCUGAACUCUGCGCCGAGCUCCUCCUGCAGAGAAGACUCAAGUGCAAAGAGCUGAGGUGCUUACACAAGACCACCGCACAGGAACGAAGCGUCGGAGUGUGGAAUCGAGACCUGUUCUACUGCACUCCAGAGCACAUGUUCUUUCUACUCUGCCAUAAUGUUUGGGACAAAAUUGAAUCAUGAGGGUUUUUCCAUUACAAAUGUAACACAUCGCUCCUGCGUACGGCUGGGAUGAGUCACUGGCACCAGACGUGCCCUCCUGCGAAAAACAGCUAUGAAACUGGACAAAAUACAGGAGGGCCACUGUUUUCAGGC
rnacentral:lncRNA from 1 species